ACCGCUUCUUGGCCUUUUGACUAAGUUCAAGUGUAGUAUCUAUUCUUAUCAGUUUAACAUCUGAUACAUCCUCUAUCCAAGGACGAUAUGUUAAGUGGAUUUUUGGAGCUAGGAUUUGGAAUAGGAGGUUGCUCUCUCCACUCCAUGUAUUGACCUGGUAUUGCAGUACCUCCAGGAAAGGUGCACCUCUC